rnacentral:tRNA from 1 species
UUCAUGAAUGUAAGAUAUUCUUACAGGUAGUACUUGCAAAUUAAUGAUUUAAUUUUAAGUAUAUUAAGAG